GUCGUGGUAGUACAGUGGUAGUAUAUCUGCCUGUCACGCAGAAGGCCCGGGUUCGAUUCCCGUCCAUGACG
rnacentral:tRNA from 2 species